rnacentral:rRNA from 1 species
GCCCAGACUCCUACGGGAGGCAGCAGUGGGGAAUAUUGCACAAUGGGGGGAACCCUGAUGCAGCGACGCCGCGUGAGCGAUGAAGUAUUUCGGUAUGUAAAGCUCUAUCAGCAGGGAAGAAAAUGACGGUACCUGACUAAGAAGCCCCGGCUAACUACGUGCCAGCAGCCGCGGUAAUACGUAGGGGGCAAGCGUUAUCCGGAUUUACUGGGUGUAAAGGGAGCGUAGACGGCUGUGCAAGCCAGAUGUGAAAGCCCGGGGCUCAACCCCGGGACUGCAUUUGAAACUGUCAGGCUGGAGUGCAGGAGAGGUAAGUGGAAUUCCUAGUGUAGCGGUGAAAUGCGUAGAUAUCAGGAGGAACACCGGUGGCGAAGGCGGCCUGCUGGACUGCAACUGACGUUGAGGCCCGAAAGCGUGGGGAGCAAACAGGAUUAGAUACCCGCGUAC